rnacentral:rRNA from 1 species
GACGAACGCUGGCGGCGUGCCUAACACAUGCAAGUCGAACGGAAAACAUAGCAAUAUGUUUUUAGUGGCGAACGGGUGAGUAACGCGUAGACAACCAACCUUUUUGUGGGGGACAACACUUCGAAAGGAGUGCUAAUACCGCAUACGCUCCAGAUGCGGCCUGGCAUUUGGAGGAAAGGAGCUGUAAGGCGUCGCAAAAAGACGGGUUUGCGUCUGAUUAGCUAGUUGGAGGGGUAACGGCCCACCAAGGCGACGAUCAGUAGCCGGUCUGAGAGGAUGGACGGCCACACUGGGACGGAGACACGGCCCAGACUCCUACGGGAGGCAGCAGUGGGGAAUCUGCCGCAAUGGACGAAAGUCUGACGGAGCGACGCCGCGUGAGUGAUGAAGGCCCUUGGGUCGUAAAGCUCUGUCAUCAGGGACGAACGGUCACGUCAGGAAAUGGGCGUGAAUUGACGGUACCUGAGAAGGAAGCCACGGCUAACUACGUGCCAGCCGCCGCGGUA